rnacentral:rRNA from 1 species
UACGUAGGGGCCGAGCGUUGUCCGGAGUUAUUGGGCGUAAAGCGCGCGCAGGCGGCUUCGCGCGCCCGCCGUGAAAGCCCCCGGCUUAACCGGGGAGAGUCGGUGGGGACGGCGGAGCUUGAGGGCGGGAGAGGUCGGUGGAAUUCCCGGUGUAGUGGUGAAAUGCGUAGAGAUCGGGAGGAACACCUGUGGCGAAGGCGGCCGACUGGGCCGACCCUGACGCUGAGGCGCGAAAGCGUGGGGAGCGAACAGG